GAUGAACGCUGGCGGCGUGCCUAAUACAUGCAAGUCGAGCGAACGGACGAGAAGCUUGCUUCUCUGAUGUUAGCGGCGGACGGGUGAGUAACACGUGGAUAACCUACCUAUAAGACUGGGAUAACUUCGGGAAACCGGAGCUAAUACCGGAUAAUAUUUUGAACCGCAUGGUUCAAAAGUGAAAGACGGUCUUGCUGUCACUUAUAGAUGGAUCCGCGCUGCAUUAGCUAGUUGGUAAGGUAACGGCUUACCAAGGCAACGAUGCAUAGCCGACCUGAGAGGGUGAUCGGCCACACUGGAACUGAGACACGGUCCAGACUCCUACGGGAGGCAGCAGUAGGGAAUCUUCCGCAAUGGGCGAAAGCCUGACGGAGCAACGCCGAGUGAGUGAUGAAGGUCUUCGGAUCGUAAAACUCUGUUAUUAGGGAAGAACAUAUGUGUAAGUAACUGUGCACAUCUUGACGGUACCUAAUCAGAAAGCCACGGCUAACUACGUA
rnacentral:rRNA from 1 species